CUUUGGCGUUCAAUUUUCUCAUCUCUGCUGGAAACUUCUGGGUGGCCAUGAGGGUUUGCUAUAGCGGCCGCCAAGAGUUAGGGUUUGGAGACUUCGUGGAAAAAUUGUAGAAAAGAAGGGCACAUUUGCAAUAUUCUGCACACUCCUUUGUCAUUGGGCGUGAUUUGAGAGAAAAGGGAGCAUUGAGGACCUGGGAAGCAAGGAGGAGCAGGACGAUACCGGCAGAUUUAUGGAUCAGCCAACAAGCGCCAGUCAUUCAGGCAAUGACUGACAUUUGGAGCAGCAGGGUGACCUCUAGGAAGGAGUUGGAGAUGAAGCUGCUCAGCUGCAGGGGUUCGCC